ensembl:lncRNA
UCUAAACUCAAGUGAAAUUGAGAGGGGGACCAGAUGUAAAAUGGGGGUUGUUAAAUAUCCGCCAGUCUGUCGGCCUGUGCAUCAAACGUCGAUUCAGUUCAUUUUUUUUUUCUUUAAUCCAUGAGUUGAAACUCAUCCUCAUUUGAUCCCAACGUGAGGCAUCCAGAGAAAUGACACUGCCAAUACCCCAAGUAACAGCAGUCUGCCAUCUAUGGAAUGAAAACAGAUGAUGUGUCAACAGAUGGAACUUAGCACUAUAGACAUGAUGGAAUUUAUGUCUCCAUAACACUGGCUCAAAAGAGAAAAAAGUAAAAUGGAUGAUCAUGAUGCAGUUCUGUUGACCCCAAGUAGCCUCUUUGGUUUUUAAAACAGUUGUCAUGGCUGAAGGAUAAAACAGAGAAAUUUAAAUCAGCUAGAUAACUAUAUAUUAGCUAAAAGGGUUAAACUCAAUGGCUAAAAACUGGAGACCUGCAGGCAGCGGGGCUGACACUGUGGACUGUGGGCUUCCUGCCAGUGUGAUGCGAUUUAGUUAGAGAGUGUUCUCUCACUCACUGCCAGCUGCAAGAGCAGAGGCAACAAAGAUUCCCCUGUGACCCACACAGCAGCAGAUUCAGAAAAAGAUGGACGCCACAGUCCCUAACCCCUGCCAGUGGUAAUUGCCUUAAAUUAUUCAAUUGCAUCUGAAGCCAAAGAGGGUACAGCACGCUGGGUGUGCAGCUGCAGGGGAGAGCUUACGCGGUCCCGGCCCCUAGCUUACACUUACUGCCUGCUCUCUGCUCUAAACGACACCAAGAUAAGAACAGAGGAGAAAAUCUGAAUGGCCCAUCCUUCACCUUCAGCCAGGCUAGGCUAUAUGAAUGCAGCCAGAGUAAAAGGGAAACAUUUCAUCAUGUACCAUUAUCUACGUAAAAAGGGAAUAUGUGGUGAUUCAGACAUAAUAAAUUUAAAAGGAUGGGACUGUGUUAGUCGAUUUUGUUGCGUGACUUCCUCUGUUCUCUAAACAUUAGGCUGAAUCCUCUGACGGCAUUAGAGAAGCUCACACAGUAAGUGCAUAACAAGGCUCAAAGCAACAGCCAGCGUUAAUGGGGCGUUUGUGUAAACAUGCCGCUAAUAAGGCGAAUGAAAAAUAAUUAUAACUCCUUUUCUAAGAACCACUUGUGAUAAUGACCUGAGCAAUCACAAGGAGGAUAAAUAGCGAAGUUGGGGUCCAAAGGGUUGUUUAUUUUGAGCCAGUGUGCAAAAUGUGCAAAUAAAUAGGUAUAAGAGCUUAAAACAAAGAUUGUAAUAAAAACAGUCUAAAACUAGAACUGCAAGUACUAAAAACAGUACCAACUCCCCUCUACAACAUCGAGGCUGGAGUUUCACAUGCUACACAGCACAACAAUCUUGUCCAAGCUCUCUAUCCGUCCACCACAACUUCUAGUGGCGGCCAUCUUAAAUUCACAUUUUCUUCCUGCUCUCCC